rnacentral:rRNA from 1 species
UACGUAGGGUGCGAGCGUUGUUCGGAAUCACUGGGCGUAAAGGGCGUGUAGGCGGUCCGCUAAGUCUGAUGUGAAAGCCCGGGGCUCACCCCCGGAAGUGCAUUGGAAACUGGCGGACUCGAGUCCCGGAGAGGAGAGUGGAAUUCCUGGUGUAGCGGUGAAAUGCGUAGAUAUCAGGAGGAACACCGGUGGCGAAGGCGGCUCUCUGGACGGUGACUGACGCUGAGACGCGAAAGCGUGGGGAGCAAACAGG